UACGUAGGAGACAAGCGUUGUCCGGAAUUACUGGGUGUAAAGCGCGUGUAGGUGGUAGGCCAAGUCUGCUGUGAAAUCGCCCGGCUCAACUGGGCGCGGUCGGUGGAAACUGGUCAACUGGAGGACGGUAGAGGCGAGUGGAAUUCCCGGUGUAGUGGUGAAAUGCGUAGAGAUCGGGAGGAACACCAGUGGCGAAGGCGGGUCUCUGGGCCGAUACUGACGCUGAGGAGCGAAAGCGUGGGGAGCGAACAGG
rnacentral:rRNA from 1 species